rnacentral:rRNA from 1 species
AACGGAUCCAGCUUGCUGGAUGCCGACGAGCGGCGGACGGGUGAGUAACGCAUAGGAAUCUACCCUGUAGUGGGGGAUAACCUGAGGAAACUCAGGCUAAUACCGCAUACGUCCUACGGGAGAAAGCGGGGGACCUCCGGGCCUCGUGCUAUGGGAUGAGCCUAUGUCGGAUUAGCUGGUUGGUGGGGUAACGGCCCACCAAGGCGACGAUCCGUAGCUGGUUUGAGAGGAUGAUCAGCCACAUCGGGACUGAGACACGGCCCGAACUCCUACGGGAGGCAGCAGUGGGGAAUAUUGGACAAUGGGGGCAACCCUGAUCCAGCCAUGCCGCGUGUGUGAAGAAGGCUUUCGGGUUGUAAAGCACUUUCAGUGGGGAAGAAAGCGUGCGGGUUAAUAACCGGUACGGACGACAUCACCCACAGAAGAAGCACCGGCAAACUCCGUGCCAGCAGCCGCGGUAAUACGGAGGGUGCGAGCGUUAAUCGGAAUUACUGGGCGUAAAGCGCGCGUAGGCGGCGAAUCAAGCCGGUUGUGAAAGCCCCGGGCUCAACCUGGGAAUGGCAUCCGGAACUGGUUGGCUAGAGUGCAGGAGAGGAAGGUGGAAUUCCCGGUGUAGCGGUGAAAUGCGUAGAGAUCGGGAGGAAUACCAGUGGCGAAGGCGGCCUUCUGGCCUGACACUGACGCUGAGGUGCGAAAGCGUGGGUAGCAAACAGGAUUAGAUACCCUGGUAGUCCACGCCGUAAACGCUGUCGACUAGCCGUUGGGAGCCUUGAGUUCUUAGUGGCGCAGUUAACGCGAUAAGUCGACCGCCUGGGGGAGUACGGCCGCAAGGUUAAAACUCAAAUGAAUUGACGGGGGCCCGCACAAGCGGUGGAGCAUGUGGUUUAAUUCGAUGCAACGCGAAGCACCUUACCUACCCUUGACAUCCUCGGAACUUGGCAGAGAUGCUUUGGUGCCUUCGGGAGCCGAAUGACAGGUGCUGCAUGGCUGUCGUCAGCUCCUGUUGUGAAAGGUUGGGUUAAGUCCCGUAACGAGCGCAACCCUUAUCCCUAUUUGCCAGCGGUCCGGCCGGGAACUCUAGGGAGACUGCCGGUGACAAACCGGAAGGAAGGUGGGGACGACGUCAAGUCAUCAUGGGCCCUUACGGGUAAGGCUACCCCCUUGCUACAAUGGUCCGGUACAAAGGGUUGCCAUCUUCCCAGAAGCCACUUAACCCCGGGAAAGCCAAUUCCAUUCCGGAUCCGAAUUUGCACC